GACGAACGCUGGCGGCGUGCUUAACACAUGCAAGUCGAACGGAAAGGCCCUGCUUUUGUGGGGUGCUCGAGUGGCGAACGGGUGAGUAACACGUGAGUAACCUGCCCUUGACUUUGGGAUAACCUCGGGAAACUGGGGCUAAUACCGGAUAGGAGCUCCUGCUGCAUGGCGGUGGUUGGAAGGUUUCGGCGGUUGGGGAUGGACUCGCGGCUUAUCAGCUUGUUGGUGGAGUAGUGGCUUACCAAGGCUUUGACGGGUAGCCGGCGUGAGAGGGUGACCGGCCACAUUGGGACUGAGAUACGGCCCAGACUCCUACGGGAGGCAGCAGUGGGGAAUAUUGCACAAUGGGCGGAAGCCUGAUGCAGCAACGCCGCGUGCGGGAUGACGGCCUUCGGGUUGUAAACCGCUUUCGCCUGUGACGAAGCGUGAGUGACGGUAAUGGGUAAAGAAGCACCGGCUAACUACGUG
rnacentral:rRNA from 1 species